rnacentral:lncRNA from 1 species
CUGCCUGUUUUGCAAAAGCCGUACAGAAGAGUGUUAUAAGUAAUGGUAUUUGGAACCAGGCCCUUAUGAGACAUAUCCAGAAAAAGCAUCAUGGCCUCAUCUAUUUUUUUAUGCUUACAAUAUCCAUUUAUCAAUGUGUUGUAACUAACAACAUUAACCAUCGAGCCCUUACUAAGCAUUAGCUCGAAAACUUUUUGUGCCUCGUCCAUUUCUCCCCGCAAACAGUAACCAUCCAUGAGUGAACUGUAUGUAACCGUAUCAGGUUCAAUACCUCUUUGAAUCAUCAUUUCAACCACACCUUCUGCUUCCACGACCAUCCCCUCCUUACAAAUUGUGUCUACCAAGACGCUGAACGUGAACACAUUUGGAAAGAUAUUUUUACUCACCAUUUCAUUCAACAACCUUGUAGCUUCUUUCCACUCGCCUAAUUUGCAAACUCCAUGAAUCAAGGAUGUAUAGGUAAUGACAUUUGGGGCAAUACCCUUGCACAUCAUUUCAGAAAAGAGGUUUAAUGCAUCAUCAACUAGUGUAUCCUUACAAAGACUGUCGAUGAUUGUGUUAUAGACAACUAGGUCAGGCUUGCAAGCUCCUUCCUCCAUCUUCCUAAGCAACUGAAUAGCAGCACUAUUGUUACCUUUCAUGCAAAAGCCCUUUACUAGUGUGCCAUAAGUAACCACAUUAGGCUGACAAUUACCUCCCGCAAUCAUUUUGUUGAAAAUUCCUGCCGCCUCCGCCUCGCUAUUCUCAAGAAGAAAGCCGUUGA